rnacentral:rRNA from 1 species
GGGUCAGUAGGUUGGUCGUGUCACUGGUACGUACUGGUCUCACUGAUUCCUCCUUCCUGAAGAACCGUAAUGCCAUUAAUUUGGUGUUGCGGGGAAACAGGACUGUUACUUUGAAAAAAUUAGAGUGUUUAAAGCAAGCUAACGCUUGAAUACAUUAGCAUGGAAUAAUGAAAUAGGACGAUCGAUCCUAUUUUGUUGGUUUCUAGGAUUGACGUA